rnacentral:rRNA from 1 species
CCUACGGGAGGCAGCAGUAGGGAAUCUUCCGCAAUGGACGAAAGCCUGACGGAGCAACGCCGCGUGAGGGAAGAAGGUCUUCGGAUCGUAAAGCUCUGUUGUUAGGGAAGAACAAGUACGGGAGGAAAUGACCGUACUUUGACGGUACCUAACGAAUAAGCCACGGCUAACUACGUGCCAGCAGCCGCGGUAAUACGUAGGUGGCAAGCGUUGUGCGGAAUUAUUGGGCGUAAAGCGCGCGCAGGCGGUCUUUUAAGUCAGAUGUGAAAUCUGGUGGCUCAACCGCAGGCGGUCAGUGGAAACUGGGAGACUAGAGUGCGGAAGAGGGAGUCGGAAUUCCACGUGUAGCGGUGAAAUGCGUAGCGAUGCGGAGGAACACCAGUGGCGAAGGCGGCUCUCUGGUCUGGAACUGACGCUGAGGCGCGAAAGCGUGGGGAGCAAACAGGAUUAGAUACCCCAGUAGUC